GUUAAGGAAAAGGAUAAAUUUAACUUAUUCUACUUUUUAGGAUUUGUUCGUCUAUUCGUCUAAAUAUUGCGGAGAAUUAAUGCUAGCCUUGGACGAGAAUCCCAACUGUCGAAAACUUGGUUUAGCGCAGAGAUUAAAAUCCAUUAUUCUCUCCGUAUAUCCACAGCAAAAUAUGUGCUAAAUCUACCAACAGAUGCCGCCACAACUCGGUGAAUAAAGAUGGCGCCACCACUGUACAGUGUACACAAUACACAAUGAGAACAAUCGUUGAUUAUCUCAGAAACAUUCGGAGAUUUCUCCCCUCAAACAUUCGGUGAUAAAAGAAUGUUCUCCGAUAUUGAUGAAAAUUUUAAAAUAACUGAAAUCUAACAUCAGUAUUAAAUACCUGAAUUAUUGCAUAAUAAUGAAUUAUUAUAUAAUUAUCGUUUUUGCAUAAUUAUCUUUAGUUACCAAUUGUUAAUUAUGAAUUACCAAACUACAAAAGUUUCUACAGUGCAAUUAGAAUUAAACUUCAAAAGUUGUGAUUUCCGUCACUAUGGUUGUUCGAUUUCGGCCUUUUUCGUAAAUUCUAAAUGAUUUUUUUUCCCUAAGCUCGGAAAUAAAAUCGGACGGUGCUUGAAACGGGAUUAGCUUAUUAGUUGACACAAUUUUAUGAACGAGCCCUUUUUAUAAAUUUUGUCUGUUCGCUGAAUAAUAUUGUUUUUAUAUAUUUAUAUUUUGAGAUGUAUGCCUCAAAGCUAAUCUAUAUAUUUGUAUUUAAAUCUCAUCUAGAGGAAUUUUAACCAUUUAAUAAAAACAUGGCUCCUUAAAAUUCAGUAUGUAAUUUGUUAUAAAUUGAUGUUAUUUACAGGUUUUUAAUCGCGGGUGUAAAUCCCCAGUUUUUAAUUGUCUCAAAAAAUUCAGCUAUAUGUGUAGGAUUAUAUUAUUAAACUAGGCAGCUUAAAAAAUUGUGAAAAUUUAAUCAAAUGAAUAAAUUAUUAAAAGUAUA